AGAGUUUGAUCCUGGCUCAGAUUGAACGCUGGCGGAAUGCUUUACACAUGCAAGUCGAGCGGCAGCGCGGGGGCAACCCUGGCGGCGAGCGGCGAACGGGUGAGUAAUGUAUCGGAACGUACCCAGUCGUGGGGGAUAACUAUCCGAAAGGAUAGCUAAUACCGCAUACGACCUGAGGGUGAAAGCGGGGGACCGAAAGGCCUCGCGCGAUUGGAGCGGCCGAUAUCGGAUUAGCUAGUUGGUGAGGUAAAGGCUCACCAAGGCGACGAUCCGUAGCUGGUCUGAGAGGACGACCAGCCACACUGGAACUGAGACACGGUCCAGACUCCUACGGGAGGCAGCAGUGGGGAAUUUUGGACAAUGGGGGCAACCCUGAUCCAGCCAUUCCGCGUGAGUGAAGAAGGCCUUCGGGUUGUAAAGCUCUUUCAGCAGGAACGAAACGGUGGUCCCUAAUACGGGCUACUAAUGACGGUACCUGAAGAAGAAGCACCGGCUAACUACGUGCCAGCAGCCGCGGUAAUACGUAGGGUGCGAGCGUUAAUCGGAAUUACUGGGCGUAAAGCGUGCGCAGGCGGUUAUAUAAGACAGAUGUGAAAUCCCCGGGC
rnacentral:rRNA from 1 species